AGAAUUAUUUUUUUCCGGAUUUCGUUUUGGAGGAGCCUCAGUAACCAUCAAAAACUGAUUGAAGAGAGCUGUAACUUCAUAAAGGGACCACAGGACUGUACUGCGGGGUGACAUUUCCACGAAAUAGUAUAAUGGAAGCCAAGGCCAUGCUCGUGCUGCUCAUGUUGUGUUGUUGGUGUCUAGUCAGUCAACAAGUCCACGCAUCAAGACUAGACGGUCUCAGACAACAGUACAACCUUGACAGGGAGAUCGAUCCGGAAACGCAGCGGAAAAGGCGCCCACUGAGCUCGCUCAACAGGAGACCCGAGCAACACGACUACCAUUUCGGCGGCACCCUCUUCCGUAAAAGGAUGCUUGGUAAUGGCGAAUAUGUGGUCCAAGAUCCGGGCUACUACGCAUUCGAAGACGAGUAAAGAUGAGGCCUAUACAUCUUCAAGACAGAUACGUAAUUCCUACAAGACAGUUGACACCAUUCCUUUGACAAGCCUUGCCGCAUAGACCGACUUCAUAAUUGACUGCAUGGUUGGCUGAAGAAUUAUUCAAAAUGUAAUCAUUCAAUGAGAUGAUUUUUUUUUAAUUCGUUGUUAGAAUAAGUCACAUGGAUGUACAGUUCAAAGCUCCUGUAUAUUUUGUUGCCGCGGUUAGAAGAUACGCGGUUGUUAACAUAUUUAUUUAAAACAUCGAACAUUCCUACCAAAAAAACAAAAUGACCGAAGAUUUGCUUCUGAACUUACUGAAGCAAAUUCUGUGCAGUGAUGUACAUUGGUUGACAUCUCACUUACACAAUGUAAUGCUAGGCAACAGAGCUAGGUCAUUUUAUAUAAAAGACAUAUAUUUGUAUUCAAUUGACCAUCAUUGUUGAUGCCAUUAUACUGUAUACGCCGUACUACAUGUUUGUCAAUAGGCGUAGCAGUGGCAGCCUAAUUAUGGAUGUACAUGUACUAUGUACCAUUUGUUCAAGUUUAAUGUCUGUUUAAAACUUUUUGUCAUGAUGUUGGCCUAAAUGACAGGUAUCCUGUGUACGUCUAAUUCAAUAUCAGAUCUCACGCUUUGAAAGGAAUUCUUGCCUCUUUCUUGAGUAACCAGGUCACACUUUCUACACGUUAAAUCAAUUUUAAAAGAUUGCUUUUUUGUAUAGAUUUUCCUCUUAGUAUACUUCCAGUCUAUCAGUAACUACAAGCUACGUCAGAACCCCUCCGCCGAGUAUUUGUAUUAAAAGUUACCCCAUUUUUUUAUCAACUCGCCCAUCUCAGUCUUUCGGCUUCUGAAGACGAUCUUAAAGUUAAAAAAAAUGUCUGUGGUAAAAGACAGUCUUGUGGUUAUCCGUACAGCCUCAUUGUGGGAUAACCUUUAAUUUGAACGUCUUUUGAAUGAUAAUGUUAGUCCACCAAUAUUGAUUGGAAUAUUUAUUACAUGUCAUCUGGCUGCUCAAUUCCCCAUACUGAAUGUAGCACUAGCCAGACGUCAAGACGAUACUGUAAGAGUUACGCCAUCAGUGAUUAAGCUUGGAGAUGACAUAUCUUUUUGCACUGUUUAGCGACCCGGUGUAUGGCAAUGAACUAUCUUAAUAAAAUUAGUGAAAUCCCUAAUGAAAUUACA
rnacentral:lncRNA from 1 species